GACGAACGCUUUCGGCGUGCUUAACACAUGCAAGUCGAACGGAAAGGCCCUGCUUUUGUGGGGUGCUCGAGUGGCGAACGGGUGAGUAACACGUGAGUAACCUGCCCUUGACUUUGGGAUAACUUCAGGAAACUGGGGCUAAUACCGGAUAGGAGCUCCUGCUGCAUGGUGGGGGUUGGAAAGUUUCGGCGGUUGGGGAUGGACUCGCGGCUUAUCAGCUUGUUGGUGGGGUAGUGGCUUACCAAGGCUUUGACGGGUAGCCGGCCUGAGAGGGUGACCGGCCACAUUGGGACUGAGAUACGGCCCAGACUCCUACGGGAGGCAGCAGUGGGGAAUAUUGCACAAUGGGCGGAAGCCUGAUGCAGCAACGCCGCGUGCGGGAUGACGGCCUUCGGGUUGUAAACCGCUUUCGCCUGUGACGAAGCGUGAGUGACAGUAAUGGGUAAAGAAGCACCGGCUAACUACGUGCCAGCAGCCGCGGUGAUACGUAGGGUGCGAGCGUUGUCCGGAUUUAUUGGGCGUAAAGGGCUCGUAGGUGGUUGAUCGCGUCGGAAGUGUAAUCUUGGGGCUUAACCCUGAGCGUGCUUUCGAUACGGGUUGACUUGAGGAAGGUAGGGGAGAAUGGAAUUCCUGGUGGAGCGGUGGAAUGCGCAGAUAUCAGGAGGAACACCAGUGGCGAAGGCGGUUCUCUGGGCCUUUCCUGACGCUGAGGAGCGAAAGCGUGGGGAGCGAACAGGCUUAGAUACCCUGGUAGUCCACGCUGUAAACGGUGGGUACUAGGUGUGGGGUCCAUUCCACGGGUUCCGUGCCGUAGCUAACGCUUUAAGUACCCCGCCUGGGGAGUACGGCCGCAAGGCUAAAACUCAAAGGAAUUGACGGGGCCCCGCACAAGCGGCGGAGCAUGCGGAUUAAUUCGAUGCAACGCGUAGAACCUUACCUGGGUUUGACAUGGAUCGGGAGUGCUCAGAGAUGGGUGUGCCUCUUUUGGGGUCGGUUCACAGGUGGUGCAUGCCUGUCGUCAGCUCGUGUCGUGAGAUGUUGGGUUAAGUCCCGCAACGAGCGCAACCCUUGUUCACUGUUGCCAGCACGUUAUGGUGGGGACUCAGUGGAGACCGCCGGGGUCAACUCGGAGGAAGGUGGGGAUGACGUCAAGUCCUCAUGCCCCUUAUGUCCAGGGCUUCACGCAUGCUACAAUGGCUGGUACAGAGAGUGGCGAGCCUGUGAGGGUGAGCGAAUCUCGGAAAGCCGGUCUCAGUUCGGAUUGGGGUCUGCAACUCGACCUCAUGAAGUCGGAGUCGCUAGUAAUCGCAGAUCAGCAACGCUGCGGUGAAUACGUUCCCGGG
rnacentral:rRNA from 1 species